rnacentral:ncRNA from 2 species
GGAGUAACUAUGACUCUC